rnacentral:rRNA from 1 species
CCUACGGGAGGCAGCAGUAGGGAAUCUUCCGCAAUGGGCGAAAGCCUGACGGAGCAACGCCGCGUGAGUGAUGAAGGUCUUCGGAUCGUAAAACUCUGUUAUCAGGGAAGAACAAAUGUGUAAGUAACUGUGCACAUCUUGACGGUACCUGAUCAGAAAGCCACGGCUAACUACGUGCCAGCAGCCGCGGUAAUACGUAGGUGGCAAGCGUUAUCCGGAAUUAUUGGGCGUAAAGCGCGCGUAGGCGGUUUUUUAAGUCUGAUGUGAAAGCCCACGGCUCAACCGUGGAGGGUCAUUGGAAACUGGAAAACUUGAGUGCAGAAGAGGAAAGUGGAAUUCCAUGUGUAGCGGUGAAAUGCGCAGAGAUAUGGAGGAACACCAGUGGCGAAGGCGACUUUCUGGUCUGUAACUGACGCUGAUGUGCGAAAGCGUGGGGAUCAAACAGGAUUAGAUACCCUGGUAGUCCACGCCGUAAACGAUGAGUGCUAAGUGUUAGGGGGUUUCCGCCCCUUAGUGCUGCAGCUAACGCAUUAAGCACUCCGCCUGGGGAGUACGACCGCAAGGUUGAAACGUUAAGGAAUUGACGGCUGAGACGAGCGAGACGACGACGAGGGAGAGG